rnacentral:lncRNA from 1 species
AGUUAGGAAUAUAAAACUCUUGAGACAUAAUUGUAGAUUCAUCAAUUAUGAAUACAAUCAUAAUUGUAGAUUCAUCAGUUAUGACUAUAAAUAAGGUUAUGGUCCCCGGUUGUAGUAUCGAAUGAAGUUUCUCUUCACCCGUCAAAGAAAAAUCUAAAGUUCAAAAGAUACUCUGCAAUUGGAAGACCAAAUCACUAAUCAAUUCAGAAAAUACUCUAAUGGAUUCAUCAGGUACGCUUCCGUGUUAAUAUGUUUAUUAAUUAUUAUAGAAUUUCAUACAUAUUAUAGUGGAUUAAAUAAGUUUUAUGUAAAUAUUCUUAAUCCAUUAUUUUGGAUCUAUAAAGUAUGUUUUUGAAUCAAGAUGAAGGUUUUGAUUCUAUAAAACAAUUGUUUGAUCCAUAUUUGAUAUGUUAAAGGAACUCCAACAAGUGGUAUCAGAGUCAUCCUACAAUGAUUGAUGAACACUUAAGCUUUUUUUCUCAUGAAUUUUAAUGAUGUUUUCAUCAAUAUUUUAAAGUAAUUUGGUUCUAUCAUCGUUGGGAAAGAUGAUAGUUUUAUGUAAUCAUGCUAUUUUGAAGUGAUUUGGUUCUAUUAUGGAAAAGAUUAUGGUUUUAUGUAAACAUGCUACAGUAUCCUUCACAUUCAAUUCAGUGCCUUUUUCUGAUGUGAUAUCAGUUUAAUUUUGGAUUAUCUUUUCUACUUCGUGUCUUUUCCUAUUCAUCAAUAUGUAAAAAUUUAUUUUUGCACUACAAGGCAUAAAUUUCUCAAAUUCUUUUUGGAUUUUAUCUAAUUAAUAUGAAUUUAAUUAAUUAGAUAUUAUUGUAAUAUUAUAUUAGUUUAAUAAUAUUGUUGCAAUAUUAUGUUGGAUUAAACAUAAUAUUGGUUCUAUAAAGUUGUUUGUUGACAUAAAUUGAAUGAUUUACAUGCUUUAAAUAUUUUAGUCAACAAAUUAAGAUCAAACCAAUUUGACUAAUAUGGUCCAAAUUCAAUUAGUGAUUGUUUAAUAUUUGAUUGAGUAAUUUAAUAUAUGAAGUCGUCAAAGUGACCUCUCAUAUAUAACAUUUCUCAUGAAAAUAUUAAAUGUAGUGUGUAUUUACAUCCAUGCAGUAAUUAUCCAGCCCAAAGGCAGGUUAAUGACUGGUAGGAUUUUAUACAUACCUGUAAUGGUAAAUACGUGAUAAUUAUAAAGUUAUACAUGUAAAUGAUAAAUCAAUCCAAAGAUGGGUUUUUUAUUUGACAUGCCUUAUUAUCAGUAUUUGAUCAUUACAACAAGACUACCACUAGCAAUUAAUAUUGAAGUCCAAAGACAAGAUAUUAAUGUUGCACUUGGUAUCUUGAGAUGGGUUAUAUCAUUAUUUGAAUUUACUUAAGUUUAUGGUAAUAAAUAUGAGCAUAAUUUUUGGUUAUCUGUUGUUAUCUUAUUUAGGUUCUCUUAUAAAAAUAUCUGCUAACCUCAAUCCAGUACUGGUUUUAAACGAAACCAACUUUAAGGGCAAGAAAAGAAAAUAUAAAUCUGGAAAGAAUGAGGCUGAUAAGGGUCCAGUACAGAAGAAACAAAACAAGGAUGAUACUUGUUUCUUCUGUAAAAAAAAAUAUGGGCAUUUGAAGAAGGACUGUGCCAAAAAUCACGCUUGGCGUGCUAAAAAAGGGUUACCUGAGCUACCGAAGGCCCAAUAAUGCUGAGAGAUGCAUUUAUGUGGGAGACGAAAAAUCGGUAGAUGUGGAAGCUAUAGGCACAUUCAGAUUGUUAUUGUGUACUGGACAUUAUUUGAAUUUGAAAGAUACUUUUGUUAUACCGUCGUUUAAACGAAACCUAAUUUUUGUUUCUUAUUUGAACAAAUUUGGUUAUUCUUGUUCAUUUGGAAAUAAUUAAUUUACUUUAUCUUUAAAUUCAAAUAUGAUUGGAACUGGUUCACUUAUGACUUAUGACAAUCUAUAUUUACUUGAUACUAUAGCUUCCUAUAAUGAAUCCAUGAAUGCGGAAUUGCAAGGUACCAAACAUGGUUGUGAAAGAAAGGGUACAAAGUAAAUAAAUUUCUAUAGAACACUUAGGAACAAACUUUAUGUUGACAGAUCCUCUCACAAAAGAUGUACCACUCAAGUUCUUUUUUUAUGAGCAUAUUGCUCAUAUGGGUAUAUCAGAAUUUGAAGAAACUUCAGUUUAGUGGGAGCCUGUCAUAUGUUUGUUGUAUGUUCUAUGCUAGAUUAUGUAUUUGUACAGACAGUUUCUGAUCAGAAAUAAAGCUUCAGUUUAUUAUACUUUGUACAUUAUGACUAUUAAAGUUAUUAAUGAUCUCAUAAAGAUAAAGGUGGACUAGUUGAAAAUUGACAUGUACGAUCACAUUCAUGUAAUUUUCAUGCUACACAUUUCAUAAUUGAUCUAUGUCAUUUGGUUAUGUUAAUAUUAGUGAUCAUUGAUAGGUUUAGCUAUGAUUGAUAUAGCAAAAAUCGCUUUGGUCCUAUAUUAAUAUGGUCAAUGGACGAGAUUGUUUUGUAUGUCCUGUUUAAUAAUGACAAUAGUUUUGAGCUCAUAAAGAAUAUCACAUUUAUAAGGAUACAUACGUGACUCAGUGGGAGAUUGUUAGAAUUUUAAGAGUCACACAUGUAUAAUUAAAUGUGUUAAGCCAUUAUUUUGAUUAGCCAAAAUUAAAGUGAUCUAAUUAAAGUAAAGUUAUUUGGCUAAGGGACAUAAUUAUUAUGAAAAUUAAUUGUGUGGAUACCAUCAGUCAUAUUCCUAACUUAAUGACGAGAUAAGUUAGGAAUAUAAAACUCUUGAGACAUAAUUGUAGAUUCAUCAAUUAUGAAUACAAUCAUAAUUGUAGAUUCAUCAGUUAUGACUAUAAAUAAGGUUAUGGUCCCCGGUUGUAGUAUCGAAUGAAGUUUCUCUUCACCCGUCAAAGAGAAAUCUAAAGUUCAAAAGAUACUCUGCAAUUGGAAGACCAAAUCACUAAUCAAUUCAGAAAAUACUCUAAUGAAUUCAUCAGGUACGCUUCCG